UAAGGUAGCGAAAUUCCUUGUCGGGUAAGUUCCGACCCGCACGAAAGGCGUAAUGAUUUGGGCACUGUCUCAACGAGAGACUCGGUGAAAUUUUAGUACCUGUGAAGAUGCAGGUUACCCGCGACAGGACGGAAAGACCCCAUGGAGCUUUACUGCAGUUUGAUAUUGAGUGUCUGUACCACAUGUACAGGAUAGGUAGGAGUCUAAGAGAUCGGGACGCCAGUUUCGAAGGAGACGUUGUUGGGAUACUACCCUUGUGUUAUGGCCACUCUAACCCGGAUAGGUGAUCCCUAUCGGAGACAGUGUCUGACGGGCAGUUUGACUGGGGCGGUCGCCUCCUAAAAGGUAACGGAGGCGCCCAAAGGUUCCCUCAGAAUGGUUGGAAAUCAUUCGCAGAGUGUAAAGGUAUAAGGGAGCUUGACUGCGAGAGCUACAACUCGAGCAGGGACGAAAGUCGGGCUUAGUGAUCCGGUGGUUCCGCAUGGAAGGGCCAUCGCUCAACGGAUAAAAGGUACUCUGGGGAUAACAGGCUGAUACCGCCCAAGAGUUCAUAUCGACGGCGGUGUUUGGCACCUCGAUGUCGGCUCAUCUCAUCCUGGGGCUGAAGCAGGUCCCAAGGGUAUGGCUGUUCGCCAUUUAAAGAGGUACGCGAGCUGGGUUUAGAACGUCGUGAGACAGUUCGGUCCCUAUCUGCCAUGGGCGUUGGAAGUUUGAGAGGGGCUGCUCCUAGUACGAGAGGACCGGAGUGGACGAACCUCUGGUGUUCCGGUUGUCACGCCAGUGGCAUUGCCGGGUAGCUAUGUUCGGAAGAGAUAACCGCUGAAAGCAUCUAAGCGGGAAGCGCGCCUCAAGAUGAGACUUCCCGGGGCACAAGCCCCCUAAAGGAACCAUAUAGACUAUGUGGUUGAUAGGUCAGGUGUGUAAGUACAGCAAUGUAUUGAGCUAACUGAUACUAAUGAUCCGUGC
rnacentral:rRNA from 14 species